AGGUUUAUUGCGACUUAAUCAAACAAUUAAAUCGGUCAAAUAUUUAUUGGUUUUGCAUAUUGGUAGAUACACACUUUUCAAUAGUUGAGUCUUAAAAUUGCAUUAGCAUAUUUGGGUGAUUAGCUACUACUAUUUUUCGGGUGCAGAUAAACAUUCUAGCAAUGUACAACACACUUGCCAAAAAAUAGAAUCUUAAUGAUGGUACACAUGAGGUUUGUAGGAACCAUCGUCGUAAAGAGAUUCAAUAUGAUCUGGCACGUAUUGGCCUUCAUGUCCAUAACCAACAGCUCCAUAGGCAUGCACUGAAGCUGGAACUGCAUGAGCAGAGUAUCCAGUUGAGAUUUGUCCGGAAGGUCCAGCAACCAAAACUCCUUCAUGUCCAUAAGCUGAAGAGUGUGCGAUAACGGUAGCAGAUGCAGCAUGUGCAACAACGGGGACAGAGUGAGCGACCACUGGGGCAACGUGACCAUAUACAGGGGCAGCGUGAGCGAUGACUCCUGGAUGCUCUUCAUGCACGAUUUGUCCUCCUGGGGCGUGAGCAGAGAUGAUGCUGCCUUCAGGUCCAACCAAGGUGGUUUUGCUGCUGGGUCCUUGAAUAAUGUGAGCAGAUGGACCUUGGAGCCAUCCAGCGUUAGCAGCAGCCACACAGGCGACAAAAGUGAUGACAAC
rnacentral:lncRNA from 1 species